rnacentral:lncRNA from 1 species
UGAGAAGUAAUGUCCAUUUUCGCAGUUCAGAGCAUCUUUCUGGCUGGAGCUAUGAGGAUCACUCUCAUUCAAGACAGAUUCUUUAGAGAACUCAGCUACUAGCUCUUUGAAAAUUUCUGCAGGACAUGUGUGGCCAGAGGAUGUGCAGCCAACCCAGCUUGUUCCCAGUGCCUGUUGCACACACAUACACACAGAUGAAGGGGUCUGUAGCAUACACAUGCCCAGCACUAUCGCACUACAUCACUAAUAUGAGCAUCAGUAGAUUCUGACAGUCUCACACAAGAAGCAGUUUUCAGAGGCAAGUUUAAUAAAUGAUUACAUAGUUGCUAUUACUUAAUGAAA